AUUGAACGCUGGCGGCAGGCCUAACACAUGCAAGUCGAGCGAGCGGCGGACGGGUGAGUAAUGUCUGGGAAACUGCCUGAUGGAGGGGGAUAACUACUGGAAACGGUAGCUAAUACCGCAUACCAUCAGAUGUGCCCAGAUGGGAUUAGCUAGUAGGUGGGGUAAAGGCUCACCUAGGCGACGAUCCCUAGCUGGUCUGAGAGGAUGAUCAGCCACACGGGAACUGAGACACGGUCCAGACUCCUACGGGAGGCAGCAGUGGGGAAUAUUGCACAAUGGGCGCAAGCCUGAUGCAGCCAUGCCGCGUGUGUGAAGAAGGCCUUCGGGUUGUAAAGCACUUUCAGCGGGGAGGCGUUACUCGCAGAAGAAGCACCGGCUAACUCCGUGCCAGCAGCCGCGGUAAUUC
rnacentral:rRNA from 1 species